rnacentral:rRNA from 1 species
GUGGGGAAUCUUCCGCAAUGGACGAAAGUCUGACGGAGCAACGCCGCGUGAGUGAAGAAGGUUUUCGGAUCGUAAAGCUCUUUCGUUAGGGACGAACGUGCUCUUUGUGAAUAAUGAGGAGUAAUGACGGUACCUAAAUAAGACGCCACGGCUAACUACGUGCCAGUAGCCGCGGUAAUACGUAGGUGGCAAGCGUUGUCCGGAAUUAUUGGGCGUAAAGCGCGCGCAGGCGGGAUAUCAAGUCUGUCUUAAAAGUGCGAGGCUGAACCUCGUGAGGGGGCAGAAACUGGUAUUCUUGAGUGUCGGAGAGGAAAGUGGAAUUCCAAGUGUAGCGGUGAAAUGCGUAGAGAUUUGGAAGAACACCAGUGGCGAAGGCGACUUUCUGGGCGAUGUCUGACGCUGAGGCGCGAAAGCUAGGGGAGCGAACGGGAUUAGAAACCCUUGUAGUCC